ACUUAUGUAUUUAUAAGAGGAUCUAUUUUAGUAUCUUACAAGUUGUAAGAUAUUAAAAAGGACGACGAUUAUCUAUAUAUUUACAUGCAUCUGUAUAUUUAAUUGUAACAAAUUUUAGAUGACAGAUUUCUAAUCCCCAUGCAGUCCAUCCAGUGACCUUUCCAGUUCCAUACAUUAAAUUUAUCCUUUCUCCGUUCACUCUCCGUUUCUCGCUCCCGUAGAAACUCAAACGCCGUCUGUCUCUCCCCCUCUAAUUAUCCUUUAUCUAUAUCUCGGUCCAUUUAGUUUGCAACGACGUUAUCUCGGUAGCUCUCGGACGGGAUAGAGGUACCUCCUCCUAUCUUAUUACUCAAAGUGUUGGCCGGGGAAUGAAGGAGGUUGUAACGGUAGUUUCCUUUCGCGGCGUGCGUCUACCUAUUCUCUCUUGUUUCUGUCUCUCUCUCUCUCUCUCUCUCUCUCUCUCUCUCUCUCUCUCGCUGUCUCUCUCUUUCUCUCUCUCUUCCUCUCUUUCUUCGCAAUGGGCACUGACGUUGAGGGAUUAAACCAUUGCCAAUCCGACUCUAAUUACGAGUAACGGAUUAGUACGCGUGCACCCGGAAAGUGCCGAGCAAACGAGGAAACUUUCGCGGACAAGCUACGUACGGAUUCGCUCUCGCUCUUGUUCCUACUUUCACCCCAACCAAAUUUAACGCUUCUUUUCGAUCGGCACGACCUACCAACAAGCGACAGCUUAAAGAAUAAAUUACGACGAGACAAAAACAUCUGCAGCAACUUAAUUACUUUGAAGUAAAAGCAAUUGGCGGAAAGGAAUAUGCGAAUAAGACAAAGCGUUUGUUCCGCACCCAAUUCUAUUUUGUUACUCGGAAGAAAUAUACGCGGACGUGAAUCAAAAAGUUUGUACGCUUCUUCUAAGCAUUCUUGAACUCUUAGUAUAUCUUGCUUCAAAAAAUAGAAGAGAAUUACUGGUGAUUGCUAGCGCUCGAGAAGAGAAUAGGAUGGUUACUACGCCAUUGUCUGGAUAUGUCAGCAUUCAAGCUCUCUUCCCCUUCCUAUUCUACAACACUCUACCCUUUUACUACGUCUCUCUCUCUCUCUCUCUCUCUCUCUCUCUCUCUCUCUCUCUCCAUUUCAGCUCAUAUCCCUUAGCGUAUCUCGCGAGUACGACGACAACACUACGACACCAUCUUUGGCCAGGCAUUUUUGACUAAUGGUCCGUGAGCGAAACUGUUUGCCGCCAUUAUCGUAAGCCCUAGAUACUAGCUAGCGAGCAAUUUCAGGAGACUUCCAGUGUCCCUGCGUUCUUACGCGUCUUCCGCCUCAUCUCUUAAAGGUAUCGCUCGAAUGUCCAGCAGCUAUUGGAUCGUUCUACCACAUCGAAGAUAAGGAUCCUUGAACGACCGAUCCCGAACGUCGUUCGACCCUUAAAAUCUCGACCUCCAAGAGAAUUGGGCCCGAAGUACCGCGUGCACCACGUCCCGACGUGUUCAUGAUACUUUCUUACGUCCUUUCGGCAGUAGAAGCAGGCGUCGAAGGAAAAAGAUGAAGGUUUGUAAAAGGUAGAACGAGAUAAAAGACUUCAUCAAACUUUAUCAACAAAAUACGCGAGCAAAACGAAAUACUUCAAAAAUAAUAGGUUUACUUUAUACACGAAUUUUUUUUUUUUUUUUCGUACAACGUGGGACUUCUAAAAUCUGAAUUUGAGAAAUUAAGUCAUGAUAAUGGGCACACUUGAACGAUUAACAUUAUCAAACAAACGAUUGACAUUAUCAAAAGUAGCGCUCUUACCGCAGAAGCUUCUAUUCUUUUAAUAAAAGUUAUACUACCUGAAUGUUAUACUACUGAAAUGUUCUUAAAACGUAAAACGUUUGCAAACUUUUUUUUUGGACUUGUUCUUAUCUCUGUUUGUCUAUGUUACUUAAACAAAAAUCUGCAUGCCGAAUAUCAGAGUAUUUUAACAGAGUAAAAAAAAAAAAAAGCAAAAAAAUAAUAAUACAGUCAUUAGAGAAAGGAUUCUUUUUAGAAGAAAUAUACCUAUAACAUGCACAUUUAAACUGACGAAAGAAUUUGGCAUUUACUUACUUUCCACCAGAGUUCAUCGUUAGUUAAAAUAUCCAUCAUUUUUUUUUUUUUUUACUUGCAUAAAUGUAGAUCCGAAAUACUAAAAGCUUCGUACAGGUCGUUACCCGAAAUAGUUUCAGGAGUUUGACCGAUGAGAAGAUUUAUCUAACAUUUUCGUUGCCAUAGAUGACGCGUUGUUCAUUAUUCUCGUGAAGUUACAUGUCCAUUAAAAAGAUUAAUAUGAUGGAUACGUUUAUACGAGUGGUGUACACUGAGCGCUACAAGUUUUCAAAAAGCAAUCGAUCACUUAUAAAUUUACGUAGCGUGCAUCAGCGUGAAAAAUAUUAUGGAAGAUGCGUUGCGACAAACAUCUUACGACUGUUACUGAUUAUCUUAACUAUUAUUCAACGUUAUAUAAAUAUUCGUGGAUUUACAAAAAAUCAAUAUCUUGAAAUAUGAGUUACCAUAACAGCAAAGGAGUUGAUGUCCAAAAUGUUUUUCAAAAUAGGACCUUCUGUCGCAGAUACGUCAGAUGAUUUUCCAAGUAAUACAGAAGUCGCUUCGAAGGGUGAACUUGUGAUCUUGGAUCUCGAGUUACCCCUCGUCUUUUCAUCUUGCCAUCUCCCGUGGGAUGAUUUCACGGACUGCCGCGUAGGUCUAAUCUGGUAGAAUUUAAGAAAAGCAAUUUUCUUACUACCGACGAUAGAAGCCGAUAUCGAUUGGAGUCGAUGUUCGAUUUUCAAAGUGUGUACGCCACACGGAUUAAACGAGAAAAAGUAUCGCUAACUAGCUUUUCAUAACUUUAAAUUAAAAAUUAUAUAUGGGAUUGUAGAAAUGAGUAUCUACAUAAUUAUAAAAAAUGACAAAUUAUUUUAUAAAAUAGGAUAAAUAAUAAACUCUGAAGAAUUUGAAUUUGUCUCCCUGAUAUUCUUUGUACAUACUUACGUAUAUACGUUAUACCCUACUAAAAUUUCUGUACUUUCCUGGAGAGCGUACUGGAAGCCGUCGUUAUCGAUUUUAUCGUACUGUUGGGUAUUUCUCGACAGGUACUGAACCUUCAUCCCUUCUUCACCGCUCUACUUCAGCAUCUGCUUUCCUUUUCAACACGGGGCUAUCCCCUAAGCUGCAUUGUUGUUUCGAAAAAGCAACGAGAUAUUUGUUCUCCACAUUUAUCCUCUUCCUAUUAUUUACAUUGAAUUUUUAACAAACAUUUCUCGCGUAAUGUUUACUUUUUCGUAAAAAUAGAAUUUUGACCGAUGCUUAUGAUGGCAAGUAAAAUUCAUUUACAUACAUUAAGAUUUAUUUAUGAUUAUCUAGAAGGAUUAUACUUCAAUUAUAUUGAUCGUGUAUUUUUUACACAUCAAGUAACUUUAAUUCAUAAUGUGUAAAUAAUUGUUAAUCAUUUUAAGCGAAACAUAGGUAAAUAUUCCGACGUGGUAUCUAUCUUAGCCAGAAAGCACACUGAUCCUCUAUAAUGCCUUAUUUCACUAUCUUGAAAGUUUUCUUUCGAAGUGGAAAAAAAGAAGUGUUAUCUUCUCUCCUUUUCUUUAUCUCUCUCUCUCUCUCUCUCUCUCUCUCUCUCCCUCCUAACUAGCACGCAUCAAAAACUUCUUCCCCUAGAUGAUAGAGUUCCAAGCGAAAGAAAUUAGAUUUUUUUCUUUUUAAGAGCCAACAUUCUCGCAGAUCGAACUGCACCUUAAUGAACUCAAAGUGUAACUUCGUGCUUUUCGCAGCAACGGAAGUUGCAACAGAAAAGAGAGGAAUCGGCAGCAACCCAUCUGUGUUACUCACACCUACCUACUCUCUCUUUCUCUCUCUCUCUCUCUCUCUCUCUCUCUCUCUCUCUCUCUUCCUCUUCCUCAAACCCUCUUCUUUAUGUCGGGAUUGGUUUUAAAGGUUGGAAUAAAGUUCUCUCUGUCUUCGAAGAUGGUCUUGUAGACUUGCCGUUGAACAUACUGGCCGAAUCUGGAAAAAUGGAAUGUGAACAUGAGUGGUUGCACGUUUGAGAAACAAAAGUAUAUCCAAUGCUCGUUCUUUAGUGAACUCAUGUUCACGUUGUUUCGUAUAGCAUUACUUAUUCGAUGCCUUCUUCAGCCUCCUAGAUUGACCUAACUUUCUGGCCUACUUCCGUUACUAUGCCUGUAGAUAUUCCAGAACAUCUCGUAGACUUCGCGAAGAUAACAUAGUCUCUUCCUCUUAACUUGGUGAUCCUUUCCUGUCGGAUAAGACCUUAUCUAUACGGAAUACCUUCUCUAUGUAUAACAUGCACUGUGCGUGAACUUGUUGUCUCCAUUCAAACGUAUUAUUUUCUUAGAAACAUCAAGUUCUAUAUUAUUUUCAAAUGCAGAUUCUUCAAAUAGUUUUCAUUUAUUCCAAUUUGCCUUUCGUUUUAAGAUAUUCUUCAUGUAUCUUUUGUAAAAAAUAUCCCGUGGGUGAGCGCAUGUACGAAGAGAGACAGUUUCAUUAACUGAAAUAUAAUUAUUACAAUUUCCGACUCUACGUAUUAGUCAAUCCAAUAAAUUAUUAACUGAUAACAUGCCGAUACUUGUUCUUCGAUUAAACGAUCAAUUGAAACGUGAAACGUAUGCAAUCAAAUAGAUAGAUAUGCAUGUAGCUAACAAAUUAACUCAAUAAAUCUGUAGAACGCAAAAGAAAAUGUAUCAGCGGAUGAAGAAUUAGUCGUAUGCUUUCUUCAUUAUCCGGAAAAGAGAAGUAGUUCUUUUCUACAUUUUCUGGUUAGAUGGUCUUUUGCCCGUAGGUCAUCGAGCCAGAUAAUGAAACAUGCAAAUGGAAAUGAGGAGGUGCUAUGUCAAAUAAUAUUAUGAAUGUCCACAGAAAAGAGAGCGAGCGAACAGUCAAGCCGUCGUACCAGUACCUAUUUUCCGCUUCGCUUUUAGCAUCAUCCUUCGACCGAAGUGAUGUUUUUGCCAUCGCUGAAUUUUCACCACCCAACCACUUUUUCCUCCUCACUUCCUCCCCCUCUCUCUCUCUCUCUCCUCUCUCUCUCUCUUCUUCUCUCGUCAGCAUCAAAACUUUUCGCAAAACCUUCUAUAAAAACAUUCGACGAGUGAACAUACACCGAAGCACGAAUAAAAUGAUUUUUAAUGUUUUCUAUGCCGUUCCUAAAGAUCGAGCACUAUCCCACGGAAUCAUUUUAAUUUUCAAAGUGAACAUGUUUUAAAACGAAUUACAUUCCAUUGAAACAAUGUACGACAAAGGAUGCAGUGCGGUUUCACUGUUUUUCCGAAGUCUCGAAAAUUUAGUUGAAAUCAAACAAGGUCGCAUUGAUUCGUACGAUUUUAAAAGAUGAGAGUGUACUCUCAUAAGUUCAAAAGCAGAACGGGCGGGGGUUACAGAAAUAUUUUCAGUAUUCAAGGGUGCUUUUCGUAUAUUCGACAUCACCUUGUUCGGUGAAACAAGUUUGUUGUUUGAUCAGUAACAUUAUUUCGCGAAUACCUGAAAGUUCUCUCUCUCUCUCUCCCUCUCUUUCUAUAUAUAUAUAUAUAUAUACAUAUAUAUAUAUAUUAUUGAACUAUAUACACCACAUGUUAUUAGUAUAUCUAUCAUAUCAGAUAUACAUACUUGUGUAUCAUGGAAAAAGCGGGAUACGACAUUCUCCGAUAUAUACCUUGUCCAACGAUCCACGGCAGAAUGCGUCCAAAAGCAUUCUCCGUAAACUAUUUUGCAAAGAGUCAUACAUUGGGAAUUCAAUAUUUCCCUACAGACGUCACGGCCGGUAUCGCCAUGGUUACGGCUUCAGUCAUGCGGAUUGCUUUCUUCUUUCUUUAUAUCCUCAUUGUUUGAUGUCGUUUCUCUUAGCGGGUUUCUCAUUCAACCUUCCAAUGUGAUACCAGUUUCAUUGGGUAUCGCCUUACAAAUGUUCUCUCCACCCAUCCAACGCCACGGUACCCACCUCUUUUGUCCGCAUAUUAUAUCAAAUCUAUCAAUUUAUAUACGUAUGUCUAAUGAUCUUCCAGAAAGUCUUCCUACAAGUCGAACGGAGAAAUCAGAUACUCAGUAAUAAAUAUUAUACUAUAUUCCUUGUGUCAUCACUGUUAGACGUCUACGGUGUUAAACAUAGAAAUUGACGAAAACAUAUGAUACGUAAUAGAAGUGAGGAAGAAGAUAAGUCUAGAAGAAAAAAGAUAGAGGAGGAAUAGAUGUAAGGAUAGAUUCGCGUAACUCGGUUUAAAAAGUGAACGAGCACGUUUCCAAAGGAAUGAACUCGACUCACCCGCAUACCGAAUUUUAACUCUUUUCCGAAACUAGUUCUGACUGCGAACGGUACCAUAACUCGAGCGCUUGUGGAACAUGAAAGCUGAGUGGAAAGAGGGAUGAGCAAGAAGAAGAAGAAGAAGAAGAGGAAAUAAGGAAGCGGGAGUGGAGAAGAGGGGAACGUUGAAUCGUCGAGAAACCAAACUUUAACAACACAGUAUAGAUGUACACGUGCAUGAGGCGGCGUGAAAGAAGAGAUCCUCUUUCCGCCUUUCCUUCAAUUUCACUGUCUCCGUGCUUUCUCUCUCUCUCUCUCUCUCUCUCUCUCUCUCCCCCUCUCCCUCUAUUUCUCUUACCCUUUUCUUCUGCCAUCAGUUCCGCUUUUCCUUUACUACGUACCAAUAUACGAGCGCAUAGACGAAGCGAAGUCUGAUACCAGUGGUAAAUCAGUUCGUCUUACCUGCUUUGGAAGUCAGACCGAUUCGAGCGGCAUUGUUCGGCAAACAGUAAUUCAUUAAAUUCUAUGACUCUAUGAGACGUGAAUGCAUCCGCCUUGCUAACUUUGAGGACAUCCUUUCCCUGCUUUCUCUUCCUUCAAUACCGUACUAUCUGCAAUACGGUUCUGCUCGUUCGUCUUUCCCACCCCCAACUUACUCCCUUCCUCAGUUACCGUCAUCAUCUUUCUUCAGUCCCUUUCUCUCUCUCUCUCUCUCUCUCUCUCUCUCUCUCUCUUGUUCACCCUUCAUACCAUCGCCAUUCGUCGUCGUCUCGACGCUCCAACAUGACAUUACUACUACCAAGCGAGAACUUUGACGAGUAACUUGAAGUAUUCCACUAGCAGUGCAGCAUCGCAAUCAUGACCCGCUUUCACGCAAAUUACUCCGCCACGUUCGGAAACACCGAGUUUCUACGGGGAGGCGAAAGACAACAGACUCUUGUCCUUGAAACUCCUUGUCGUCGAAUUGUAAUCGACGCGGAAAAUCCAUUUAUUGGGGCGUCUAAUAAUUUCUAAUUUGAAGAAAUGGUGUUAAUGGCGGUCCAAUGCUGUUACAUGACGACUUACGAAUUCAAUGCGUUACACGCCAUCGUGAAAAUCUACGAGGACGGUUAUAAUAGAUAAGUUGUUCCGUAUCAAUUAUUAUUCUACAAUGCAAAUUAGUAUUAUCAUUAUUGUAAUGAGCUGUUGCAUAAAAUUAUAAUGAAAUCUAAUUUUAGUUAAAUAAGUGAUUCCAGUGGAAGAGAAUUGAACAUAUUAAAUUAAAUUGAGUUAGUGUUAUUUAUCGUUACAUAAUAAAUGGCGUUGCAAAAAUAAGUUAAAAGUUUUGGAACUUUUGAGUAAUAAAAAAAAUCAGUCUGUCUUGUACAAGGCGUCGUUUCGUUAAAAAGUCAUUCUAAUUCACGUUCUUCGAUAUUAAACACUGCUAUUAUUUUCAUUUCUUAAUUGAUAUUUACGUAAUUUAGUUUAUCUCAUUUUUUGUUGCCGUCAUUGCUCUUUGAUUAUUAACCCAACUAAGGCAGACUACAUCGACAAUGACGAGAGAAGAAGUAACAGUCAAAGUUGAAAAUGGAACACGAUAUAAAUAAUACAUAUUGCUUGCGGCAAGAUCACUUGUCUAGAGAGAGGAAUUUGAGGUCUCCGAGAUGUAAGCGAGAAGAAGAGAAAAAAGACGGAAAGGGAGACACACAAACGUAAUACGAAGCAGAAAGAGAAGCGAAACUUAAGAGAAAAGGUACGACAAUGAAAAGAAAACAACGUAAGAAAGAAGAAAGGCAAAAGAUGGAAUGGGCUAUGAAAAGAGUGAGAGGAAUAUCGGGAGAGAAGGGGAAUGGAAGUCCUUGCUCGUGGAAUAAGUAUUCAUCGUCUUACCAGGUAAUUGGAUUGCGCGCGCUUCCUUUACCACCUGAUGAGGAUUUAUUAUUUAAAUCAAAUGUUUUGAGGAAGCUUCUUAUAUUCGAACAGGUCGCCGUCGAUAGCAAGCGCUUCCACCAUUACAAAUCUUUUCUCUUUCUUUCUCUCUCUCUCUCUCUCUUUCUCUCGUUCUGGCUUUCUUUUUCGCUAUUUGAUAUUCCACCGAUAGUCAGGAAUUAAAAGUAUAUUGAAUGAAAGUAUCGUAGAAUUAAAAUAGAGCUACUCUUUUGCAGCGCAAUUUUUGACAAAUUCACGGAAGAGAAUUUCGCAGAUCGAAAGGUUAAAUUCCGGACGUUUAUAAAUUUUACAGGUGGCUUUUGAAAAACUUUGACGCGAGAAGCAACGAUUUUGGCGUAAAAAAUUCCCCAACGAUUAGCGGGGCUCGUGUUUUUCCUGGAAAACAUCGGCGCCCAAGCGAUUCCGAAACUGUGGAAAAAUCACAAAAGCCGAUAAAAGUAGUAUUUUUGUACAAUACUGCACGGAAAAUGAAGCGUACGCUCGGCAUUAUUCGUGCGCGCACCUGACUGAUACGCUUGUCAUGUUUAGAGCCUGUAAAUUUUACAACUCGCUUUGUCAGGACCACUGCAAGCAGUAACCGUUCGUGCGUGUAUUUUUUAACGUAGAAUCCAAUGAUGCUCGAUUUUUUAAUACCCUGUAGCUUUCGAUAUCAAUCGUUUCGAUUAUAGAAUCAUAGACUGCGUUUUCAUACUCAAAAAUUAUAUAGCCAUUUUAUAGUUUGAAAAUGUCUUAUGCUAUAAUGAAUUACAAUAUGUGUAAGUAUAUUCUAGCGGAAUAUAUUUAGACACAAAUGUCAUAGAUUGUUGAAUGGCCAUGUGACCCCUACGUUUUUGUUCUAUGUUUUAUUCCUUAUAACUUUAUAUAUCAGUCAGUCGAAGUCGCAGUCGCAGUCGAAUCGUGGCAGAGAAAAGAUCGUGCGGGAUAAAAAUCUAAUAGUUUACCCUUCUUUUUUUCCAUUUAAUAUAAUUACUUUUUUAUAUGAAACAACAUGAAAGCAUAUCGAUUCUGUUUCAAAUAUAAUCAAAAGAUUUACACUGUAACAUUAUCAACAAACAUCAUUAGCGAAUGAACAAGUUUCCGUACUAUGUUACGAAUGCUUGAAAUAACUACAAAGGACAAAGUCAAGAAUGUACUAAUUGAAGGGCUAAGAUCACGAAGCUGACGGUGAAGUCGACUUCAUCUCUCUCUCUCUCUCUCUCUCUCUCUCUCUCUCUGUAUAUAUAUAUAUAUAUUUAUAUUAUCUAUCUAACUCGAUGUUACGCAUUGAACGUGUACGGGAAUUUUCGUAAAAUAGAAAUUAAAUUUAUGGUUAAUGAUAACUCCAUAAUAAAACCAUUAUUCCGCGGCGCAUUGCGUACGGUCAUCACUUGGAAAGGGAGCUAUUGAAAGAGGAAGAGAACUGGAGUGGAAGGCAAAAAGAGAGGGAGAGAUAUAAAUUCGGAGAGGGAAAGGACAAGAGACAGGACAAACCAGGGAAUGCGUUAUCGUCUGCAGCCAGCUGACAAAUCGAAGGUAAUAGGGCCGAGCGAAAUCCUGAGUGAUAGAACGAAUGGGAACACCUGCAUUUAGUAGGUACCUGGUUACAUCCAUAUAUAUAUAUAUCUCGUUAAUCGUCUAAAAAUGAAAUUGGAAACUUGAAUAUUUUCCUUAGACAAUAUUUUAGUUCACGGUAAUAAAAAUGCUAUUAAUUGUAAAUAUAUCAUAAUUUAUGCAAGCCAAACAUGAUUGAAAGUAAAAAAUAUAAAACGCGUUCUAUACAUUUUUGUAGAUAGAAAAAAGAAAGGAAACCGUUCUUCUCCGAGGUGAAUCUUCUAACACCUAUUUUUACCGAAAUCCGAUAAAGUAAAGUUAAUCAAGGAAAUAAGCCUAAGAGAAGGAGAGCAGGCAAGCAAAAGGAUGGAAGUAGAAGGUCGAGCUUAAGGAGGCGCCCAAAGUAAGAAUCACGAGCGCAUGCAAGCCAGAAGAAAGGUGGGUAGAAGUAGUAUCCACCCCUGAGUAGUGGUGGUAGUUGAACUCGGUGGCAGGACAACGCGAAUAACUGUUGCCUGUAGGAGCGCGACGACGCGGCAUCACGCCAGAAAGCCGUACUCGGGCACGACCCACGACCCCCCGCAUUUUCCAAGCUGUGUUCUGGCAUAGGCCGCGGUAGUAGGCCGACGCAGCCCAUCGCCAAUGAGUGCAUGUCUGGGGCGGAGCAUGCCUGACAUGAGAGAGAAAGAGAGAGAAAGAGAGAGAGAGAGAUGGGGGGGGGGCAGGGGGGAAGGAGAGACAGAAAGAGAGUAGAUGCCAAGUAAGUACCUACAAACGACGAGAGUGACUUCGCCAAGUGCGGUUGCGAUUUCGACCUACUCUCCGUGACUACUUCGUCAUCUUCCACAAAUUUUUCCUCUACAACGAACACAUUUUUCUUUUGUUCUGCCUAGCCUUUUUGGUUCGAUCUUCAUAACUUUCAGAAAGUCAUUUAGCGAUUUACUUUGUUUAAAAAAGUUGAUCUGUCGUCGUCAAUUGUUUUGCUUACGCCAUUACAUCUUAUUUUUAAAUACAUUCAUUCAUAAGGGAACAAUCCUGCAUAGUUUUUAACACGAUAGUUUUUCUCAUGUAUUUGCACCAUAUAUAACUGAGAGUUAGAGAACUAAUCAAAUAAACACUUAGGGAAGCAAUUAUCAAUGAGCAGAAAAAUACAUUCGUGCCUAUGACUGAACUGAAUUAUAGUUGAAGAUUACGAAGAAUAGUAGGAAGAUGAGUAGUGAAGUGGGAGGCGAGAGACGACGGACAUAAACGUGACCUAGUUACACUAUUGACCUGUUGACGAUGGUUGGUAAUAGACGAAGGAUUGAAAGUGGUGGCCGAGGGAUAAAGAGAAAGUAGGUGCUGAGAGGAAUGGUGGUAAAAGAGAAAGAAGGUAUGAGAGAGAUCGAGAGAGAUGGCGACCGAUAGUGGUAAUGCUUGGAGCGGGAUGCACUUGACGCAUCAGAGUACAAAGUGAGAAUGAGAGAGAGAGAGAGAGAGAGAGAGAGAGAGAGAGAGAGAGAGAGAGAGACUGCCGCAUGCAGUCCCAGCGCGCGCAGCCUAUCGUCCUACCAUGCGCGCGCGCGCACAUACAUACGCCAUGGCGUAGGACAACCUCUCUGACUAAAUCGAAAAUUCAUCUAUACUUUAUGUCAUCUUUCCCUUGAAACCAAUUACUCUAUUCAACAAACAUACUUACACAUUGAUAUGCUAUCUUUCUUCUCACUUUAAUAAUUGUAAUUGAUUAUUAAAAAUUUCAAUUGUUAAUAAUUUUAUCUGUCGAUUGACACACUUUAAUUUGAAAAAGCAAAUAUGUUAUUCCGAUCAAGUAUAGAUUUUAAAUCGAUGGACUAUUCGUCAAACAUUACAUCUCAAUUAGAUAAGUCACUUCCUUAAUUCUCCAGAAAUGUGGUAAAACAAAGAGAAAAAAGGAAUAAAAUGAAAAAGAAAUAUAAAGUGAGAAAUUCCAGUGGGCGGCAGAGAGGGGGAUAAAACGACAGGGUAGUCACAUCGAGAGGAUGGAAAGGAGGCGAGAUGGUGGCGAAUCGUCAGAGAUAUAUGAUGGAGGAGAAAAUAUUGAAAGAGUGACGAGGAAGAAGAAGACGAGUGAAAGAGUAGGUAGAAGAAAAAGAGGAAGUGAAGAAGAGGAUGGCAGGACUUCUCAAUGGAGUAAGGGAUAAAAAGCAAAUACGUUUCACUCACUCGCGUUUUCCGUUAGCAAAUUCAAUCUCGUCGGGACUCCCUUUAACAUUGUGCUCGUAAUAGGGAGGAUGAAGAAGGGCCAAAGGAGAGGUUGAAGAGCGAGGAGUGAAACACGAGAAAGAGAAAAAGAAAGAGAGAGAGAGAGAGAGAGAGAGAGAGAAAGAGAGAGAGAGAAAGGAAAAGUGUGCAAGGGGGCAGGUGUCGCCCGUAUAACGACUUUAUCACACCCUUGGAACCCACCCCUACCGUUAUCCCGCAUUUUCUCUCUCUCCCUCUCCCUCUUUCUCUCUCUUUCUUCCAAUUUUUUCUCUUCCUUUUCUUUCUCGCUUUCUCAACCUUCUUCACUUUCUUAACUCGGCACACCACUCACACUUCAGCGUCGACUAUUAUCGACUUUGACCGAGCUCAGAGUCGGUUCACCUUUAAGCUAGCCAACUGUAGUCAGUCAGAGUUAGAGAGUGGAUAAUGCGAUAUCUACUCUUUAGCGGAAGAUAUCAAUAAAAUUGGAUAGUUCAAAGCAUCCUCCGAAAGUCUCAAAUUUUUUGAACCUCUAUUCAAUAUGUGCUUCUAUUUUCCUAAUAUAUUCUGAAGCAAAAAUAUGAAAUUUCUUUAUGUUCUUCUUCACGAUUAAUCGUCAGAAAUCGACGAAAUAGAAUUUACACGAUAAUUAACGCGACCUCUUUUACUUAAAAAAGAUAAUUUUAUCGGUACAAACUUUCGAUUGCAUUGUCUAAUUACAACAAGAAAGUAGAGACAGUCUCAUUAAAAGUACGGGACCAAAGUCUUUGUAAUUUAAAAAAGAAUCUUACUUCGACGCGCCCAAUUAAUAAAAAUCUGUCAAGUCAGGGCUGGUCAAGAUCCAUGUAAAAAAAUAAAAAAAUAAGAAUGUAAGAGGAAAUAUAGAUAGAAAGAGAAAGAGAGAGGGAAAAGAGGGAGGGAGGGAAAAAAGAAAAAAUAAAGCGAGGCAAAGACUAAGGGAAAAAUAAGUGCAAAAAAGAAAGAGAGCAAAGGAAAAAGUCUUCAGUCGGACGGACCACCAGGCUCGUUAAAACUUGCCUUAUUAACAUUUUUCAUACGCGGAUGCCUCCCGGAAUGUUGAGAAGUUUAUUUAAGUGGGCAGACGAAGGUUGCGCCAACUUAAGCCUUGGAUUCAGAGCCAAGUUAUGAAAGUUCGUGUAUACUGGCGAUUUUACGGAUAAUGAAAUUAUAUCUAUUACUAAAUUAAACUUAACGAUCCUUACCAUUGUAAAAUUUAUCGAUUUUUCUACAGGAUAAUUUAGUUUAAUCAACUUUUGAUCUUGACAAUAAAAAAAAAAAAAAAAAUUCAAAUAUCGACUUUUAAGUUUUUUUUAAGGCUAGCAUUGAAACGCAACUAGAAUGGUUUAUGGCCAGAGGAUGGAAUUUCGAAAUCAAGCAUUAGUGCGAGUCUUCGGUGUAUUAAGCGGACCUAACUUGAGCGUGUUAAACAAGUACGUCCAUUAAUCAGGCGAAACUCACAAGUAACUUGACCUAUGCGACACUGAUGCCAUAGGACGGGUUUCCGUCGGAGGCUGGAACAGCGUCUCCUUCGCUAUCGUCUGCCUUCCCUUUCUCUUCUUACCCAGUAUCACCUCAUAGAGGGUCCAUUUGUUAUGCCCAGGUGACACUCAAUUAUGUUCCGCAAAAGGGUUGCAAGACUCUCGAGAAAGACAGCAGCUAACUAGCCCAGAAACUUUCUCCGAACAACAUAGUCACACACUUACUAAGAGUUGUAUUACCAAGAAAGAAAGUGCAUCAAAUUGCGACGAGAUCUGGGAGAGAAAGGGAUUUACUUCAUCAUUAUAUUAAAAUAUAUUGCUGUUAAAAUUACUAUCAGAAUAUGAAACUAAAAUUAUUGUUUUACAGUUUUAUAGUAUAAGAUUUUUAAUGAUCAAAAAUUCAGAAGAUUCCAUCGACGAAAAUUUUGCGAUCCAAGAGAUACGUCGAGGAGUACGAUUGAAAAUCGAAAAAUUAAACUUGAGAUAAGCACCGGAGUUUUAUACUUCACCGAAAAUGUAUCUUUACACGGUAUAAAAUUCUGAUUAAUAUACAAUAUUUAUGUGUGCAAAGCAUCACGACUGGAUAUCAUUUUAGAAUCGUCUUCAAUUAAUACCUAAAAUAAAAUCAACAGUUUCUAAGAAAAAAAGAGAAUCAA